GACGAACGCUGGCGGCGUGCUUAACACAUGCAAGUCGAGCGGAAAGGCCCUGCUUUUGUGGGGUGCUCGAGUGGCGAACGGGUGAGUAACACGUGAGUAACCUGCCCUUGACUUUGGGAUAACUUCAGGAAACUGGGGCUAAUACCGGAUAGGAGCUCCUGCUGCAUGGUGGGGGUUGGAAAGUUUCGGCGGUUGGGGAUGGACUCGCGGCUUAUCAGCUUGUUGGUGGGGUAGUGGCUUACCAAGGCUUUGACGGGUAGCCGGCCUGAGAGGGUGACCGGCCACAUUGGGACUGAGAUACGGCCCAGACUCCUACGGGAGGCAGCAGUGGGGAAUAUUGCACAAUGGGCGGAAGCCUGAUGCAGCAACGCCGCGUGCGGGAUGACGGCCUUCGGGUUGUAAACCGCUUUCGCCUGUGACGAAGCGUGAGUGACGGUAAUGGGUAAAGAAGCACCGGCUAACUACGUGC
rnacentral:rRNA from 1 species